AUCCAAAAGUUAAAACCUUACAAAGCAAACUAUGUAUCUUACUGAUGGAAAGGCUUCCUCCGUGACAGCCAUUUUAUUAUUUUGGGAUUCCAUUUAGUUUAUUUGUUUUAAGCUUUGUCUGCAAAAUAACACCUUUGAAGUAGGAAAUACUUUUGCAUCUUUUGUUGUGUCCAAGCCAUCAAAACACGAAUAUCACAGCCAAGCUAAC
rnacentral:lncRNA from 1 species